AGAACCGAGAAACGGAAGAGGAGGACUGCUCUGCGGGCAGAGAUUCUGAUACAGUGCUUAUGCAGACCCACGUGUCUUUUGAAGAAAACCAGAGUGAGCACGUCUGCCGUGCAGGUUGCAGCUUUUCAGCUUUAUGGAAAGAGCUGUGAUAUUCCUUUCCACCAUCUUUGUCUUUUCUUGGGCUCCUUCAGAAGCAGAAAGACCACUGAAAAGCAAUACAGACCAAGAAAAGGGGACUGAACUUACUUCAAGGAAGGUCUUUCAACUGGAGUCUUCUGAUCUGAUCUUCCUAUUUAACAGAAAUACCGUCAAGGAGAUGAAACUAUACUGAUAAGCCCUUUGGCAAACAUAUCUAGGGACCAACGCCCCCCCAACCUUAAAAACUCUGACUUUUGAAGUAUUAGUAUUCUGAUCACCCAAAAGCCAUGGCAUCAUCUGUGUCCUAACUGACAUUCUUCCCCUUCAAGUCAAUGUGCAAUUUUAAUAUGGCCUUCUAGGGAAAGUGCUUUUACCUCAAGGAGAAAAUAUAAUGAGAGGCAAAGAUGUCUUGGGAAGUUUUGGCAUCAAGUGGUGUCUAAAACUAGGAGUCAAAAAUAAAUAAAUAAAUAAAUAAAUA